CUAAAACCCAAUUUCUCUUUCUUCACAAACAAUGACCCCUCGCUGCCACACUCAUCUCUCGCAACUGACCUAACGCCGCCUGCGCCGAAGAACGUCAAAGAAAACCGUCGAAUCUGCUACCUUUGGAACGCCGAUGAACUUGCUACCAUUGGAACGCCGUCGAACCUGCAACCAUUGGAAAUGACCCAAUUUCCCUUUCUUCACAACCCACAACCUCCUCGCCACACUCCCAUUUCUCGCAACUGACCCAACGCCGCCAGCGUUGAAGAAGCCCCUGCGCCGACGAACCUGCUACUACUGGAACGCCGAACGUUAUGGCUUUAUAAAAACCUUCAUUUUCUUGUGGCAGGCUACUUUCAGAUAUAUCAAGAUUAGAGACCAAAGUUGAGAGGCUAGAGUCGGUAGUACAAGCUAAAGAUAGGGAGAUUGCAACAAUUACACGAACAGAAGCAAAAGCUAAGGCUGCUUUCAAAGCUCAAAUUGACAAGCUACUGCAGGAAAAGGAUGAAUUUCAAAGAAUGGUUAUUGGAAAUUAGGUUAUGGUAGUUGGAUGCUGUGAGAUACAUACUGGUUUCUAUCUAAUAAUUUUAGUACUAAUGUUGUCUUCUGUUUGUGUGCAAAGCAAGUAAGAACUCAACAAAUACUUGAGAUGAAGAAGAAAGAAAAGGAGUACAUCAAAUUGCAGUUGUUGUAUGUUUGUAGGAAAGGCUAAACCAAGUCUUAAUGGAUAAAAAGAAGGAAUCUUGAUCAGGAAUGGAGAUAAUGAAUUUGCUACAGAAAGAAGUCGACAAUGGGGAACUUGGAAUGGCAAGAAGACUGAUAACGAUUUCUAUAAAAAGAUAGUGGAUGCUUAUGAAGUAAAAAAUCAAGAAUUGAUGUCAUAUAAUGCUAAUUUAAAGAUUGUUACGGUCAAUGCAGGUUGACAUGCAGGAUUUCUUAAAUGCUCUUAAUGGACUACCUAAGCAACCACUCACAACAUUAAUUGUUGAUAGGUGAAUUGUUCAUAUGUAGGGGUUGACAUUAUGAAAAUUUAUGUAUAGAGAUGAUAUACUUUUGGGCUAAGUUACUUAAUUAGAUGAUGUUUAGUUGAAUUCUUGGAAAUCUGAUGAAAUUGUUUAUAUUGAUUUUGUAAAUGAUACGAAUAUGAUGCAAAGUUUUGGAAAUGAUAUGAAUAGAUGAUAUUGAGUUGUCA